rnacentral:rRNA from 1 species
GACGAACGCUGGCGGCGUGCCUAAUACAUGCAAGUCGAACGAGAGCGCCCGGUGCUUGCACUGGUCAAUCUAGUGGCGAACGGGUGAGUAACACGUGGGUAACCUGCCCAUCAGAGGGGGAUAACAUUCGGAAACGGAUGCUAAAACCGCAUAGGUCUUCGAACCGCAUGGUUUGAAGAUGAAAAGAGGCGCAAGCUUCUGCUGAUGGAUGGACCCGCGGUGCAUUAGCUAGUUGGUGAGGUAACGGCUCACCAAGGCCGUGAUGCAUAGCCGACCUGAGAGGGUGAUCGGCCACAUUGGGACUGAGACACGGCCCAAACUCCUACGGGAGGCAGCAGUAGGGAAUCUUCCGCAAUGGACGCAAGUCUGACGGAGCAACGCCGCGUGAGUGAAGAAGGUUUUCGGAUCGUAAAACUCUGUUGUUAGAGAAGAACAAGUGCUAGAGUAACUGUUAGCGCCUUGACGGUAGCUAACCAGAAAGCCACGGCUAACUACGUG